AGGGUGUAAACGCUGCGGGCUUGGUGUUGGGGGUCCUUAGUGGGCGCCCAGUGCCGGAGAGAAGUUGUUAAGCCUGCUGCUUGGGGAGUAUGUCCGCAAGGAUGAAACUUAAAGGAAUUGGCGGGGGAGCACCACAACGGGUGGAGCCUGCGGUUUAAUUGGACUCAACGCCGGGAAGCUCACCGGAUAAGACAGCGGAAUGAUUGCCGGGCUGAAGACCCUGCAUGACCAGCUGAGAGGUGGUGCAUGGCGUAGUCGUGU
rnacentral:rRNA from 1 species